CAGCCGCCGCGGGAACACGAAGGGUGCAAGCGUUACUCGGAAUUACUGGGCGUAAAGCGUGCGUAGGUGGUGGUUUAAGUCCGUUGUGAAAGCCCUGGGCUCAACCUGGGAAUUGCAGUGGAUACUGGACCACUAGAGUGUGGUAGAGGAUAAUGGAAUUUCCGGUGUAGCAGUGAAAUGCGUAGAGAUCGGAAGGAACAUCUGUGGCGAAGGCGACUAUCUGGGCCAACACUGACACUGAGGCACGAAAGCGUGGGGAGCAAACAGGAUUAGAUACCCGUGUAGUCCCUGUCUCUUAUAC
rnacentral:rRNA from 1 species